AACGCACAUUGCGCCCUUUGGUAUUCCGAAGGGCAUGCCUGUUCGAGCGUCAUUAUCACCCCUCAAGCCCGCUCCGGCGGCACCAAGGUUGACCUCGGAUCAGGUAGGAAUACCCGCUGAACUUAA
rnacentral:misc_RNA from 1 species